UUUGAAAAAGAAAUCUUUAUUCGCGUCCCGCACGGACAAGCACAGUGUCAUUCUAGAGAGACGCCGCCGGAGGGCGCGAGAGUCCGCGAGCGAAAGACCGCGCGCCAAGCCUGCGUGGACGUGGUCCUCCUGUGGAGGAGCAGAAGGGCCGGACGCUCCCGGUUUCGAUGGCAACCCCUGCGUCCCGAGCUUUUCUGGGUCCUCCUGAGAUUCUUUCAUUGAUUCACAAGAGGGAGAUUAGAAGACCUGCUUUCUCAAUCUCCCACAUCUAAAGAUGCUGAAAAAGAUGAUAUUGACAUAAAUAUCAGAGGAUUCUGGCUCAGUUUGUUUAUAGUUUGUUUCAAGAAAUCCAUCCAUUUUUCGGGCUUCCCUGGUGGCACAGUGGUUGAGAAUCUGCCUGCCAAUGCAGGGGACACGGGUUUGAGCCCUGGUCUGGGAAGAUCCCACAUGCCGCGGAGCAACUAGGCCCGUGAGCCACAACUACUGAGCCUGCGUGUCUGGAGCCUGUGCUCCGCAACAAGAGAGGCCGCGAUAGUGAGAGGCCCGCGCACCGCGAUCAAGAGUGGCCCCCGCUUGCCGCAACUAGAGAAAGCCCUCACACAGAAACGAAGACCCAACA